rnacentral:rRNA from 1 species
UACAUGGGGUGCAAACGUUGCUCGGAAUUAUUGGGCGUAAAGCGCACGUAGGUGGUCUGUUAUGUCAGAUGUGAAAGCCCUCGGCUUAACUGAGGAAGUGCACCUGAAACUGGCAGGCUUGAGUACGAAAGAGGGUCGCGGAAUUCCCGGUGUAGCAGUGAAAUGCGUAGAGAUCGGGAGGAACAUCUGUGGCGAAGGCGGCCAUCUGGACCAGCACUGACACUGAGGCACGAAAGCGUGGGGAGCAAACAGG